rnacentral:rRNA from 1 species
UACGUAGGGGGGCUAGCGUUGUCCGGAUUUAUUGGGCGUAAAGAGCGUGUAGGCGGCCAGGUAGGUCUGGUGUGAAAACUCGAGGCUUAACCUCGAGAUGUCAUCGGAAACCAUCUGGCUAGAGUCCGGAAGAGGAGAGUGGAAUUCCUGGUGUAGCGGUGAAAUGCGCAGAUAUCAGGAAGAACACCAAUGGCGAAAGCAGCUCUCUGGGACGGUACUGACGCUGAGACGCGAAAAGCGUGGGGAGCGAACAGG